rnacentral:lncRNA from 13 species
CAAAUAUUCUCCAAGUCUUUGCCUUGGAUUAGAUACCUUUAGAACAAAAAAUGUUUUGAAGUUCAACGUGAAGUUCUAAGCAAAAUGGAGACUAUUCUUUGUUCCAAAUUUUAUAAAAAUUUGGAUUGAAAGGGAGUUCUUUCCUGUAGGUAAGAAAUCCCUUAUACUCAUGUUUUCUGCAUCAACACUUCAGACAUCAGAAUUUACAGUAUUUGGCAUAAUGGAAGCUUAAGCCAAAUAUUUUGCAAUAAACGGUGCAGAAAAAUUGCCAUCUCUAUGAUUCAAAUAUUUGGAUUUUUAUGUGAAGCAGUGACAUUCAUAUUCUCAUUCUUUGCUACUUCAUUCAUAAUUCAUGUUUCUGAAAGACAUGAUUAAAAAAAAAUCUCAAGCCGCUUGGGUUUUUUUUUAAGAGAUGCCUUCCUCUCAGGAAAAUGGAGUCAGACUUUAGCACAUUUUACUUGGUUAUUACGGGUUUGACUGGGGCUUGGUGGGGGGGUGUUAAGGGAUUUGCCUUGGGUCUCAGGUGGUGACUUUGUGGCUAGCCUCCUCUACACUGUUUUGGAAUCAGCUGGCUCCAAGAUCAUUGUUCUGUCUUCCCACUAGACCACAUUGUCUUCCAAAUGAAACUACAGUACUGCUGAAAGCAGGAAGGCAACCCUUCAACUCACUUGUUUUAUAAAGACUGCUUAUAAGGCAAGGACAGGGGAACAGUAUGAAUAGCCUUUUUCACAGGUCAUUGAGAACAUCUUUGUUACUGGCACUGUCUAUGUAGUAUUCUGAGCAGAGUUUUGCUGUUUCCAAGUGCUAAAGUUUCUUCCUGCAGAGAGAUGGCCACCACAGACUAGCUGCCAGAAGAAUUUCCCCCAGAUCUGGAAAGCUUCUAUUGUUGCUUACCUUGAAUAUUCACAUCCAGAGAGGUAAUUCAUCCAAGGUGCAGUUUUCCAAUAACUUUAUAACGAGUCUUAUUCGUUGCCCAGGCUGGAGUGCAGUGGCAUGGUCUUGGCUCACUCAAUCUCUGCCUCCUGGGUUCAAGCAAUUCUCCUGCCUCAACCUCAUGAAAAAAUGAAAAUUCCCUACUUCUCAGCCUCCUGUGCAGUGAAGAGAUAUAAAAGAUUCUGGCCAACGAUGCAAAGCACUUCCUUUGGCAAAUGGAAAGGUAAUAGCUCUCUAUUAACACACUUUUCCCUUUUAAAUUGUUUGGUUCUUUUUCUUUUUCUUACCUUGAUCUUGGAUGGAAUACCUGGAAAUGUUGCAGCCACCUUUCCACAUGAAGUAACCAUCCUAAGAAAGAAACCUAGGCUAGUUCUAAGGGCAUCAUUAAACCACCUUUAUUUCCUUUCCAUUGACCCUUCAUUGGGUAAAUAAAUAAACUCCUGUCCAUUUAAUCCAUGUUAGGCUCUCAUUAUUUGAUUACACUUUGGAUUGAAACAUUUUUUUGUUUUAGCACCAGUUAGCUCCAUUUCUUUACAGUGACAGUUUGCAAUUCUGCUUGAGUGUAUACCUUUUGGUGGUCUCUUUAACUGCUUCACAAAGUUCCAACCUUUGUUCCCGAAUCUGUAUAGUUUAUGGAAAGCCACCUCAUUCCCAUAUUCAGGGACAAAGCCGUUACCUAGAUAAAGCCAGUUGGUGUACUCCAUAGUCUAGCCGUACUGUUCACAAUUGAGGGUUUAAACCAAGAUAGCCCAAUCAGAGUGAGUCUCAAAACUUUUGCUGGGAAUUCUGAAACAUGGUCCUUCUCUUUCUCCAGUCAGUGUGGUGUUCCAGUGCAAUGUCAGGAUCUGCUGCAUCCAUUUUCUACCAUGUGGUAAGGCAGCCUGAGUAGGCAGUUGGCACACUGAGGAAAGCAGAUCCCACAGUAUUGCAGAGUGCCAGCCUCCUGACUUGUCUGCACUUGAAACCUGUCUAUUAACUUCUUGUUAUUGUUUAAUUACUUCAACUAAGCUGCAGUUUUACUGAUACACUGUUCUAGUGCGGCCUCUAACUUUCAGUGGAAAACCUCAUGUGCAGGACAUCUUCCAUCUGCUCCUCCAGAUCUGUUCCACUCAUUUGCUCCCUGUUCUUAUAUCAUGAAAUAAAAAUGGUAUUGACUCCA